AUAAUUCAUUCAUUUAAAAUGUACAAUUCAGUGUUUUUUGGUGUAUUUACAGAGUUGUGCGUGUGUCACUGCCAUCAGUUUUAGAAUAUUUUUAUUAGCCCCAGCAGGUCCACACUCCUUGGCCCUCACCUCAGUUACCCCUUCUCCCAGCCCUGGGCAACCACUGGCCUGCUUUCUCUAUUAGUGGAUUUGCUGGUUCUGGACAUUCCCUAUAAACCGAUGGUGCAACAUGUGGUCUUUUGUAUCCGGCUUCUUUCACUUAGCAGAAUGUUAUCAAGGCUCAUCCCGGUUGUAACAUAUAUCAGUGCUUUGCGGUUUUCUCUUUUUCUCUUUUCUUUUCUUUUUUGGCUCUGCCCGUGGCAUGUGGAAGUUCCCAGGCCAGGGAUUGAACUUGUGCCGUAGCACCGACCCAAGCCUUUGCCGUGACAACACCAGAUCCUCAACCCGCUGCACCAUAGAAGAAUUCCAGUACUUUGUUUCUUUUUAUGACUUCAUAAUAUUCCUUUGUGUGGAUGUACCACAUUCAGUGCAUCCAUUCAUCACUUGACGAGCAUCUGAACUGUUUGCAGUUUCUGGCUGUUAGGAGUCAUGCUGCUCUGAGCAUCUGUGUACAUGUCUUAGAGUGGAUUGUCUUUCCAUUGCACUGUUUUUUUAGAGCAUGUCCUAAGCAGUAUCGCCUCAGCCAUCAGGGAAGUGUCUUAAAAUGUUUGGCAUCAGAGAUAAGUCAUUAUUCCAAAGUGGACAGCUCUGGGUCAGGGGCCAGGAGACCUGGGGGACCCUGUGCACCUGCUGGUUGUCCUCGGACUGUGAGUGGCUCAGCUCUUGAGAAGAAGGAAAGCACUCACAGCUCCUCUCCUAGGCCUCCUGCUUCUAGAGAUCACGCACUUUGCGAGAGAGGUGGUGCCAUGCUCCUGGAUCCCUACAAGACAUCAGUAUUGUUUGUGUGAUGAAUGAGUCCACGCCGUGGCUAUUGAAUGUAUUUGCACCUUCUAACAGUGUCGUCUUGCCUGUGUCGCUGACUGGUUUUGAGAUUUAUGAGGCCUCACUCAGAAGCAAUGUGUGUCUGGAUUAAGGGAACCUGAGAAUCACUAUUUAUGUCUGACCCGAGGAAAUUCCCUUUAAGCUGCUUAUCAGAGGUGCAUGCUGAGAGCAUGAUGGGAAGAUGGAGUCUUCCAUCCGCUGGCAAAAUCUGGAAUCUGCUCUCACUCCAUUUUAACUGGAGUGACAAUAAGCUAACAGACCCAUAGGUCUACCUGGAAGUAUCUGCUGACAGCUUCACUUUUGUAAAUUGAGUUGAAAAACUACCUGUGCUCUAAUUCUGAUUUUUCCCGAUACUCCAAGUCUUCAGUGUGGAUUAAAACAUCAUCCCUUUUUGUAAAAAUCAAAACAAAGCAACUUUGAUCUAGGUGAUUUAGGAGAAACUAAAUAUGCCUCUAAUUUCACUACCAGUAUAGUGAAUAUUUAUUUUCCACUUAAAGGGCUAUCAGUGCUCCACGAUUUUUGCAUUUGCAAUUUGAAAGCUACCAGAAAAUUUCCACAUUAUUAAAAAAUUAAGUUUCUCUCGAAAAUAUUCCCUGUGCAGACGCUAACACAUGUGUAUGCACUAUUUCACCACCAGGGGGCAUUGUGGUUUGACUGUCCAUUUAAACAGCCCACAUUCUAUCAGUUUACCCAGGAAAUAGAAGGCCUGGGCAUAUUUCUGAUUCCUUCCAAGAAGGAGCCAUAUCUGGGAGAGAACAGAUGUCGAUUCUUUUUCCUUACUAGCAAACGGUAGUGUUGUCAAAUUUGCUAAACUUAGCCAGUCGAAGAUUAACAUGCAGUAUAUAAUAUGCAUGUGCCUAACUGUACAAUAAGUAGUAAAUCACAUUUUUAUGCUUUCUCUGAACUUGGAAGCUGCAAGUUAUUUUUUUUUUUAUUCCCUGGGUGUGAUGAAAUAAAUAACAUUCAAAUACAUUUUAAAGAUGUCAGUCAGCGGGGGGAAAAAAAAGUGCUUGGCAACUGUGUUUAAUAGAUUUCUUUUAUGAUUAAUUCUCCUAUUAAGUUUUAAUGACUUUAAAGAUAUAAAGCUAGAAACCACAAAACUAGGCAUGGUUAAUAAAUAACUGAAAUUCCAGGUGUAUAGAAAUGCAUGUGUGGAAAAAUGAAAUCGUAUAUUCUCUAGGAUGUAUGAGGAAACGGCUCUCUGGAGAGUCUAGAGAGUCAAAUAUCCCCAAAAGGGAGGGGACAAGUUUAAAAACAGGGAACUCAAGGAGAUUGUCUUCCUUUAGGAAAAUCCUAGGAAAAACGUACUCUCUAAGAUUAACCAAUGUAAAGUAAAUUAUCUUACGAGCCAGUAAUUUUCAGCAAGAUGGUGGUUCUCUUGGAUGGAAUGCAUUUCUCCAUUUUGGCUUUUUAAAGUGUCUCUGUCCACAAUUUCAAGUAUUUCUCCCAGUUCCUCUUCACACUUUUCUCCCCAGGCUCAUCUGGCCUGGAAGAUGUGUGCUGAUUCAUUGUUUUGUAAAUGUUCAAAAGCCUGCCUGGUCCCAGGAGUGGGGAUCGGAGUGGCAGUAUUUCAGCAAUGCUCUCUCUCUCUCUCUUCUUCCUCCUGCACCCAGAAUGUAUGAACCAGGACUCAGCUCCUGCACAGAACAUCUCUGGGAGUCGGGGAGAAUUGAAGAAUCAAUUCUAGUUUCCACGUGGCAGGAGUGAGGCUUGCCUGGGGCUGGCGGGGUCCCCCACUCCCUGAAACACCCCCUCCACGUCCGAGCCUGUGUGUUCACGCUGGGGGCCUCUGCAGCAAGCACAGCUGGAUUUUUUACUUUCUAGACCAUCUCAAUUCGAGGUCUUAAACUGAACAGUUUAGAAACCAAACAGACAUGAAUCAACAUGAAGAAUAACUGGGAAGAGUUACGGGGCCCCCAGAAGAAUGUAUAAAUGUGUGUGUUUUUGUAUCUGGUUAUGUGUAUGUUUUCAUGCCUCAAAAGAGACACAUGGUAUAUUUCAAUCCAUUCCCGCCACGAAGGACUUUUAUUCUUGAGUGUUUCCGAGUCCCCAAAGCACAAUAGAUGCCAUUUGGAACCUUCACACGAGGCAGCCCCCACACUUCAGAACUUCAAGUCGAAAGAUCUUUUAAGUCCACAAAACUUAUUUUUCAAAGAUCUUGGCCCAUUCCAAAUGAAUACUGAUUCCCAGCCUCUCAAAUGCCUGGAGUGAGAAAACAGGGAAUAUUGUUCUUUUCUGUUUAUAUUAUUUCAUACUGAGUUAAUACACUUGCCAAGAGUCCAGUCCCUUCUAAUCUGCGCUGUUGUUGUAAACACUGGAGAAGCGGGAUCUUUCUAGCAAGGGCAGUGUUAUCUGGAAUAAAAUGUUAGCCCUGAGAGUGCUCUCGUGUUCCGCCAACAGCGAGCCGGAGAGCAGAGGAGGGAGAGUCAGAACGUGGGGUAUGUGGCAGAGACGGUGCAAGCCAUCUCUGUGUGUCGACCCCGUCUUUAAAGGCAAGAUUAACAGCGAUACAUAAAUAUAAAUGUUUCUUUCUGGCCAAGCACCGCAGAUUAGAUUUCACAUUCGAAAUGUAAAUCGUGCCUAGGAAACAUCGAUGUUUAUUUUCAGCAACUGACCCUCGGGGAUAAAAAUAAAAAGGAAAAGGGAAACAAACAAAACCGGGUUACUGACAAGCUGUAGGAUGCUCUAUUUUAUAUCUCACAGAUAUUUUACAGCUCUGGCAUUUCUAGGGAACACUUUGGAGUACUUGUAGUCCGGUUUGUCCAUAAAAAAGCCGUCUGUGUUUUUAUGUUUUGAAAAGACAUGUGGAGAAGCCCACAGCAUGUCCUGUCAGGCAUCUUAUCCUUGAAGAAACAGCAGGCAGCAUCAGUGUCACCCACGUACUGUCCCCACCCCCGCCACCCUUUGAGAAGUGUCUUGGGGCUGUCUCCAGCCAAAUCAGCACUGUGCUUCUUGAUUCAUGCCCUGGACUGUUUGCGAAGACAUCUGAAUUAUAAUAUGUAGCGGGGGAAGCACCGUCUGGCUGUCCCAUCUUGACUGAUGUUUCUGCAUCCCACCUUGCUUAAUCAGGAGCAGGAGCCAGGGAUGCUGGGCAGGGGCAGGGGUGCUGGAUGGGCGUGGGCAUGCUGGGUGGGAGUCGAGUUGGUGGACUGAGGCGGGGAUGCUGGGUGGGUGCUGGUUCAUGCCUUCCCUGUGUCAGGUCUCCCUCCUUGGAGCCAUCCCCUUGCUUUGGUUCCCAGGCAGCAGGGGCGAAUGGUAUUCCUUCCACCUCCUUUGUCUUUGUCAAACCCACCACCCUUUCCAGCAGCACGGAUAUUUCAUUAUCUGCUGCUGUUAUGUUGUGAUCAUGGAUCCCCCAGCUGUGCUCAAAACCACCUCCCUCUUGAGAAACACAAGGAGGUGGUUUUACCAGCAGAAUCUGGUGUGUGUGUGUACACAUGUGUGCUUUCCCCAUGCACACAUGCGUCCAUGCUCAUACACUCGUGCACAGUUGGCGCCGUUGGCAGCUCAAGGUGAAGCCCUCCCGCUCCGGAUGACCUGGGACUCAGCUGUGAGGUGGAGCUGGCAAGAAUUUUGCCACCCAGUUGUUAAACACACACUGUUAAAACUUGAGUUACACAAACUUACCAUUAAAUAAAUUAUAUUCGAAACAACGUUGUGAAAUAAUCCAAGCGCAGUUCUUCCCAGUGAUUUUACGACCCCUGACGGUCUUCAUCUGCGCUCCUGAGCUUGUCUGCCCUGGAUGGCAGAAGUGCCCAGGGCUCUGCCCAGCCCUGCGUCCAGUGACAUCGUCUUGCCAGCUUGAAGAAGCCGUGGCAGGAGUAUUGACACCGCAGAAACAGGCAAAAAAACCACAAACCAAGCCUUGGUUGAUUGUUUCUUUUGUAUUGUCGUGGCUUCAGACAAUAAUUAUAACAUUAAUAAUGAAGAUUAACUACAAGGGUGUCCUGACCAGAAUGAUGCAUAAUGAAUAUUAUUAAAAAAGAGGAAAUACCCCCUCAGCAUAUUAAAAACAUAUUAUUACCAAACUCAGUAAAGAAGCUGCUCAGGCCAUUGAAGAAUGAGCACCGAUCCCAAAUAGGUCCAUCUGGAUGGUUUCACUUUCAUCUUACCAUUAACUUGAAAGUGUGAACCAAGCUUCUGGGUUGUGGAUGCGAGAGACUAAAAUCAGGGAAAGCCCCAGGUGAGAGUCAGUUGGCUCCGUGAAAUUUAUAAUGAAGAGUGUUGCCUGUUUUCACUUGUAAAUUGUGUGCCAACGUCUUUUAUAUCACUCAGUUUUAGAAUAAGCAUGUAUAGGGUUGGCCCUUCAUAUCCACGGGCCCCAGAUUCAAUCAGUGUUUGGUUGAUCACAAAUAUUUGGGGAAAAAAAUUCCAGAAAUAGCAAAAAGGCAAGCUUGAAUUGGCCACACGCUGGCAACUGCUUCCAUAGCAUAUACAUUGCGUUUGCAGCUAUUUAUCUAGCAUUUACAUUGCAUUCGGUAUUAAAAGUAAGCUGGAGAUUAAAGUGUAGGAAAGGCUGUGCUUAGGUUUUGUGCAAAUGCGAUAGCAUCUUUUGUAAGGAACAUCUGUGCGUGCAGAUUUUGGUGUCUCGGUGGAGGGGGGUCCCGGAACCAGUCCCGGGGUAGUCUGCAGGGCUGGAUUUGUAUUUCGAGGCAGGCUUUUCUUUUUGGAGAGCCACUGGUGCUCAGUCACUGUUCACCUGCAGAAAAUGUUUGCGGAUUCAUUGAGAUGGCCUGUGCAGAUGGGCCUGCUCCAGUGCCUGGCACAAAGCUACCACGAUGGCCAUGGUCGUGAGCGUUAUCUCCACCCUUGUCACCAUCAGAGGGAACAAGGUGACAGGUGCCAGCAUGGCAUGUCCAGGAGCAGAGUCACCCAGUGUGAUGGGCCGCCCAGUGUGCCUGGGGGAAAUGGCUCGCCCGCCAUCCCAGGAUGUUCAUUUUCCCAGAGCCAAAACCUCCCAAGGCCGGUAAGCAGCAGGCCCGCCCCUUCCUUGUGUUAUGCUUCCAACAGGCAGUUCCGAAAGCAGAGGAAGCAGGCGGUGGCCGUCGCCCAUGUUCGGGUGGCCAGUUGCCUCCCGCCUCCCCACCACCCCUCGCACCUGCUCUCCGAAUGCAGAGACCGUUUCUGUCCCGAAUCAAACCGUUCAUCAGGGUUUACAGGUACGCCUUCUGCCCAGACACCCUGACUCCGCAAGAAGGAUCUGAAAUCUUCUGAGAGCUCUCAAACGACGUGCACCUGAAAUGUCCACCUGAAAACAAAAAAGAUGCAGGAUGACACCUGGCCGCCCUGUGGAAAAGGAUCGGGGCCUGCCAGGGCUCUUAGGCAUCACCGGCCGUCUGCUGUGUGGGGUGCUUAAUAGUUUCAAGAGCUCAGGGUCCCGGCUGCCAGGCCUGUUGCCUAGGACAGGCCCAGGCCCAUGGAACAAGCAGCUUCGGAGCAAUCGCAGUACCUCCUGGCUUCCGUAGCCUCCUCUGUUUCUUGUUAUUCUAGUUGAGUACUGCGUUCAGACAGAGGUUGCCAAUAAAGUUUAUUGUAGGAGCCGCGUGUCAAUAUCUGUUGUACCCCCCGCCUAGGGUGCUUGUAAUUAAAAUGCCACAGAUAGUCUGGGAGAGGCAUGAAAAUUUGAUGGCACAUUGAUUUCAGGUUCAUCUUGAAAUUUGUCCUCCGCUGGACUCGAUACGCCAGGCAGAUGCGGGGUGGCUUUUGUCAGGGGGGCCCUGCUGCAAUGAGACAGAGCGGUCUCGAUCUGAAUAUUAAAUACAACUCGCUGCUUAUGACAGAUGACUCCUUGGGCGCUGAAACACGCCGCACUCCUCUGUGCCCAUUCUUCUCCACGGAAUGUGUAAGAUAGGCUCACACAGAUGCACUUUACACGUGAAAAGAACUUGUAAGAAAGUCUCUGGGCAAAAGAAAGAAAGAGUUUUGAGAAAUGCUGGCUUCAAACCCAGGAUAGUCUGUCCAGUAUUCCAAACGUAGAAAUGUUCCUUGGAUCUGAUUUAAGAAAGCUGGAAAAAUAAUGGUAACGAAGAUAAUAGCAUCAUCAAGGAUCACGGCCCUGCAGGUUUUCCUCAGAAUGGCGUGUUAUAGAAAAGCAAAGGAAGCUGUGUGAGUGGGGUAAACAGUCCCAAUAUUUAAUGUUAUAAAUUGCUGGUUCCUGUAAACUCGCAUUUAUGCAUCCCAUUAGAAAAGCCAUUAUCCUUAUGUAUUGUUCAUGCAGAAAUGCACUGUGAAUAUAAUACAAUUUUAAAAGUGUAUUUGUUUUCAGAAUUUAAUUUGAAAAAGGUUUGAGGGAAAAAUAAUGUGGAGUUUUGAGUGUUUUUAAUUUUAAAAAUGCGUUGUUCAGUUGAGUUAAAUGUGCUCAAGAAAAACGCAUUUUAUUACCUGAAACUGUUUAUUUGGCAAUUAAUUGUAUUUACUCUAGAAUUCAGUGGGUGAUUAGAAAUGGAUUUGAAAAGAGCAGUGCUCACAUGGAGAACAUUCAUGCAUUCUUUAAGCAAAUAAGAAUUGAAUCCUGGAGUUCCCACUGUGGCCCAGCAGGUUACAGACCUGGUGUUGUCUCUGCAGUGGCUUGGGUGCCUGCUGAGGCACGGGUUCAAUCCCUGCCCGGGGAACAACCAUAUGCUGCGGGUGCAGCUGGGGUGAUGGUGGGAGGGAUUGAGUCCCUACUGUCCGCAGGGCAAAAGUGGAUGAGAAAAGAUUUCUAGGCCAGACGUCUAUGAGCCGCAUGUCCCAGGCUACCUGUCACUCUGCAUAAGCGGUGCCUCAAUUAAUUUUUCAAAAACGCCUGAGCUAGUGAUGCCAAAGUCUGAGCGACUCCCUGGAAAACAAAUGAAGGGGAUGCGUUCACUCCUUCUGAAGUGGAAUUUUCGAAUGGGAACAGAAGCAGUGCCCUUCACUUCGGGAUGGAAGCAUCUGUUCGGCGUCUCUCGCAGGGAGACUCGAGACGCGCGUCUCGCUCAGGGUGAUGUCUCGGGCAGGCCCGGGGACUAAGGCCCGUCAGCGGAACGAGCCCGGCAGAUGCUCCUGGGUCGUCAAAGUCACUCCUUGGCACAUUCAGGAGAUAUUUAUGGAUCUUUUAUUAGGGCAGUUUUUAUGGCCCAAGAUUAAAAGUUGGAAGUUAAAUAGUAAAAGUAAUGAAGAUGGGCCUUCGGAGGAUCCAACCGGUUUGUGUUUUCAUUCCCUCCGUUUGCCAAGGCCCAUUGAAUUUUGAUGAUAGUGUUUUAAAAAAAAAAA
rnacentral:lncRNA from 1 species